AUUGUAAGAGCAGGACUGCUAAAAGAAAGGCCAGUCCUGAAAAGAAGACCCCAAUAAAAAGGAGGAGGGUCGCUGAGCAGCUGGUCCUUCCACCAGCUCAGAUGUGGUCAAAGGAGUGAAGCGCAAGGUUGUGCAAGAUGAAGAGGGCACAACAAAGAAAGCAAAGAAGGCUAAACUUCUCGACCAUAUGAGCGGUGACAAGGAGCAAGCAUCCUCCUUGUUGGACUCUGGUAAAGACUUGAAUAACAACAGGUGUGCGCAAAAAAUGGCAAAAGAAAGGCCGCGGAGACAACAGAGAGUCACCCAAGAAAAAAAAAAAGGAAUGUGGACCAGGACAAAAAAUCAGUGGCAGACCAAAAACGUAAGUAGCAAGCAGCUUGGGUUUUAUAUUCAGGGGAAGGGCAAAAGGAACAUUUAGGCUACAGAGGAGAGUAAUUUGUGUCACAGCUGUAAUAAAACAAGAUUUGUUGUUUUGUCUGUUCAGGUGAAUUCCAAGCCAGAUAUGUGGAGGAGCACCAGCUCGGAGAAGGAGGCUGCGGAGCAGUGUUUGCUGGCUACCGGAUAGAAGAUCGUUUCCAGUAAGUGUUCAGAUGAUGGUAGUAAGACAGGCAGUAACGCAGAUAAUGGAUAAUAUCGUAAACUGAGACGUCUGCUGUGUUUCCACCUUUCAUUAUGUCAUACUGAGGAAAUGCUCACCAAUGCUCUGUGUCUUCUAGGUUGCCAUCAAACACAUUCCCAAAAAUAAAGUCUACUGCAAAGUGGCGGUAAGCGUCCAACACUUGAAUCAGUUUUACAUUACUGGAUUGAAUGCGGCGUUCCUCAUCAUCCACUUUGUUGUAAUAUUUCAGGAUGAAAGCGGGAAGAAGCUCUCAGUGGAAGUGGCCAUUAUGGUUAAACUUGCAGGUGAAGCAGAAGGGUCAGUGGGAAUAUCUGCACCUGUGUCCUUGCUGGAGUGGUUCGACCUUGGCAAAGAGCUGAUCCUGGUGCUGGAGAGACCUGUCCCGCUGUGGACCUGCAAAAAUACAAAGCAGAAAAUGGAAGAACUUUAACAGAGGACAAGGCCAAGGUAGGUUGACUGGAAGAACCUUAGACUGUACAGCAUUCAAUCAAGGCAGAAAAGCAUGAACUCAUUAUUGUUUUUCAUCUUUUCCAGGUCAUUCUGAAGCAACUUGAUGCUGUAAAGGAACUUGAGGAUAAACACAUCUUUCAUCGGGACAUCAAGGGACAAAACAUUCUGAUUGAGACCGGCUCAGAUGUGCCUCGUGUUCGCAUCAUUGACUUUGGACUGAGCUGCUUUGUUAAACAGCGAUCUCUGUAUCGCAUCUUCUAUGGUAACAUAUUCUGCUCCUGCUUUUCACAGAUGUAACAAUUUGUGUCUUUUGUUUUAGAAGAAAUUGCAAUUGUGUCUGUUUGUUAGGCACUCCUCUUCACAUCCCUCCCGAGUGGUACAUUAGGAGCUGCUACAGGUGUGGACCCACCACGGUGUGGCAAAUGGGAGUGGUGUUGUAUGAAGCGCUCAUGCACGAUACUUUAGUACCGCGAGGUUCCUCACAAAGAAACUGAGCAUCAAAAAGCGUCUGUCCACAGGUAAGAAAACUUCACACUUCCAGAUUCACUGAUGCCUUGGAUCACUAGAACUAUCAUCUUCAUCUUUUGAUCUUUUCUUUCUUUCAAGAAUGCCGGAAUUUCUUGGACGCAUGUUUAGCUAUAGUCCCGGAGAAGCGCCCAACACUGGAGGAGCUCCAGCUUCACCCCUGGCUAAGAUAACACACACAAACACACAAUUCACACCUUAUCAUAUAAGUAUGAUACAUUGUAGUAAUUCCUUUCUUUUUUCUGUUGGACAGGAAUAGAUAGAAUGGGUCAAUCUUAAAAAAUAAAUAAAUAAAAAUUUAGCUUUUUUGGAGUUCUUGUAACCCCCCAGCCAUCCCAGGAAAGGGAUCUCUCUUUGAAUGGGCUUUCCCGAGGUUUCUUCCCAUCGAUCUGGCCCCCUGGGAGUUUUUCCUCGUCUUCAUAGAGAGCUUGGGCUGGGUCAGGAGCUCCAUCAAAACGUCUUUAUUUGAUGACUUUAAAAUAAAGAUGUGUUUUACUUAAAGUAAAAUUUGAUCAAAAUAAAACUUGUUAAUUCAUCUUUGCUGAGGAUUCUCCUUCAUUACUAUUUUGUUUUGUUUUUUUGUUUUGUUUGUUUUACCCAUGGUGCAUUUUGACAAAUAAGAAACUGAAUCAGGUUAAAGUGUGCACAAAGACAGUCACACUGCAAAUGAUCUGAAGACUUGCAUCUGUUGCUCUAACCCCCAACUAGUUUAGACAGAUUUCCUGGUUCUACCAGAGGUUUUUCCUUCAAGAAGGGAGUUUUUCCUUCCCACUGUUGCUGAGUGUUUGCUCAUAGUGGGUUGUAAAAGCAUAAAAGUUAAUAAGAGGCAUUCAUAGCAGAGUUAUCACAGCGGGAACUAUAUAGCUUAAAUGUACAAUUUCUACAGGACGAAUUAUAACUUCAUUAUGUAAAAGCUCCUGUGGAUAAUUCUCCUAUUUGUAACUUUACACAAGAGAAAGUUU
ensembl:lncRNA